GCUCAGCCUGGGCUCUCUCUGCAGUCAGGAGGGCCCUGAGGUCGCAAAAAGACUUUUCUGGGCCUCUGGAGGCUGCUGGAAUGAGCAGGAGGUGUGAGCAGAAUGAAGAUAGCAGGCAGACCAGACUGAGAGGUGUAUUUGAUCACCAGAAGUUAAUUAUUGAAGAAGGAAGGGAAGAUUCUUUCCAAAAUGUUCUCAAUGCUCCUGGCAAACUGGCAGGAUUUUGGGGAGUUUCCCCAAGGAAAAUGGUGCCAAAGCCAUGCCAGCUCUGCACAAACAAAUAUCUCCACCUGAUGAUGACAUCCAUGGACCCAAAGAUGCAUUACUCCUCAGGAUGUUUUCCCUCUCCACCUCAGGAAAUCAGCAGCUCCCCAGGCAGAUUGGAAGGUCUAAAAUAUAAAAUAUCCCUGUCAGAGCCAGGAUCCCUGUUCCCAGCCAGGAUCCCUGUUCCAGCAGAGCCAGGAUCCCUGUUCCA